rnacentral:miRNA from 1 species
CCGACUUCUGGGCUCCGGCUUU